rnacentral:rRNA from 1 species
AUUGAACGCUGGCGGCAGGCUUAACACAUGCAAGUCGAGCGGGGGAAGGUAGCUUGCUACCGGACCUAGCGGCGGACGGGUGAGUAAUGCUUAGGAAUCUGCCUAUUAGUGGGGGACAACAUCUCGAAAGGGAUGCUAAUACCGCAUACGUCCUAUGGGAGAAAGCAGGGGAUCUUCGGACCUUGCGCUAAUAGAUGAGCCUAAGUCGGAUUGGCUAGUUGGUGGGGUAAAGGCCUACCAAGGCGACGAUCUGUAGCGGGUCUGAGAGGAUGAUCCGCCACACUGGGACUGAGACACGGCCCAGACUCCUACGGGAGGCAGCAGUGGGGAAUAUUGGACAAUGGGGGGAACCCUGAUCCAGCCAUGCCGCGUGUGUGAAGAAGGCCUUAUGGUUGUAAAGCACUUUAAGCGAGGAGGAGGCUACUUUAGUUAAUACCUAGAGAUAGUGGACGUUACUCGCAGAAUAAGCACCGGCUAACUCUGUGCCAGCAGCCGCAGUAAUAC